rnacentral:rRNA from 1 species
CGCGUAGGCGGGAACUCAAGUCAGAUGUGAAAACUCCGGGCUCAACCUGGAGACUGCAUUUGAAACUGGGUUUCUUGAGGGCAGGAGAGGAAAGUGGAAUUCCUAGUGUAGCGGUGAAAUGCGUAGAUAUUAGGAGGAACACCAGUGGCGAAGGCGACUUUCUGGACUGUACCUGACGCUGAGGCGCGAAAGCGUGGGGAGCGAACA